UUAUAAUCGUCUCUUUGUUAUCAAGGUCUGCUCUGAUUUUGUUAGUUUAUAUAGGUAUUAAAAUGGCCAAUUCAACAAUUGGCUAACCGAUGGAAAAAUCAAAUUCGAAUCGCAUAUUUGAUGAGGUGGAGCUUCUCUUUAAAGUUAUGAAGGAAGAGACAAGGUUAAACAAACCGUCGAAUACAUACUUAGGGAAUCUUGUCAAAACAAUCCAUCUGAUAUACUAGUCUACUGGAGCGAUUUGAAUCUCAUAAUCCAUCCGCGCUGCAAAGUACAUCCGAAAAGAUUUUCCUCAAAACAAAGGAGAUGUUACCAGUGGAUAUGGAAAGGAAUGUUGACGCAAGUGAAAAUGGCAAAAUUCUUCACCCCUGAGGUAAGGAUUUAACGAGACAACAGAAAAUGCCGACCGCAAGUACGUGUUGAACAGGCCAGCGGUUGCUAGCAAUGAGAGUAAUGGCCAGGCCCAGCCGCUGUUUAAUGUGGAGAUUGUUACGAAGGAAAAACUUUGAAAAAUACAAAAUGAGAAACGAAUCACAUAUGAUUACGAACGUCACGC